rfam:Dipodomys ordii contig_30933, whole genome shotgun sequence.
GGGAAGGUGGCUCAGUGGUAGAGUGCUUGCCUUGCAUGCAUGAGGCCCUGGGUUUGAUUCCCCAAUACCA